AAAUUGAAGAGUUUGAUCAUGGCUCAGAUUGAACGCUGGCGGCAGGCCUAACACAUGCAAGUCGAACGGUAACAGGAAGAAGCUUGCUUCUUUGCUGACGAGUGGCGGACGGGUGAGUAAUGUCUGGGAAACUGCCUGAUGGAGGGGGAUAACUACUGGAAACGGUAGCUAAUACCGCAUAACGUCGCAAGACCAAAGAGGGGGACCUUCGGGCCUCUUGCCAUCGGAUGUGCCCAGAUGGGAUUAGCUUGUUGGUGGGGUAACGGCUCACCAAGGCGACGAUCCCUAGCUGGUCUGAGAGGAUGACCAGCCACACUGGAACUGAGACACGGUCCAGACUCCUACGGGAGGCAGCAGUGGGGAAUAUUGCACAAUGGGCGCAAGCCUGAUGCAGCCAUGCCGCGUGUAUGAAGAAGGCCUUCGGGUUGUAAAGUACUUUCAGCGGGGAGGAAGGGAGGUAAAGUUAAUACCUUUGCUCAUUGACGUUACCCGCAGAAGAAGCACCGGCUAACUCCGUGCCAGCAGCCGCGGUAAUACGGAGGGUGCAAGCGUUAAUCGGAAUUACUGGGCGUAAAGCGCACGCAGGCGGUUUGUUAAGUCAGAUGUGAAAUCCCCGGGCUCAACCUGGGAACUGCAUCUGAUACUGGCAAGCUUGAGUCUCGUAGAGGGGGGUAGAAUUCCAGGUGUAGCGGUGAAAUGCGUAGAGAUCUGGAGGAAUACCGGUGGCGAAGGCGGCCCCCUGGACGAAGACUGACGCUCAGGUGCGAAAGCGUGGGGAGCAAACAGGAUUAGAUACCCUGGUAGUCCACGCCGUAAACGAUGUCGACUUGGAGGUUGUGCCCUUGAGGCGUGGCUUCCGGAGCUAACGCGUUAAGUCGACCGCCUGGGGAGUACGGCCGCAAGGUUAAAACUCAAAUGAAUUGACGGGGGCCCGCACAAGCGGUGGAGCAUGUGGUUUAAUUCGAUGCAACGCGAAGAACCUUACCUGGUCUUGACAUCCACAGAACUUUCCAGAGAUGGAUUGGUGCCUUCGGGAACUGUGAGACAGGUGCUGCAUGGCUGUCGUCAGCUCGUGUUGUGAAAUGUUGGGUUAAGUCCCGCAACGAGCGCAACCCUUAUCCUUUGUUGCCAGCGGUCCGGCCGGGAACUCAAAGGAGACUGCCAGUGAUAAACUGGAGGAAGGUGGGGAUGACGUCAAGUCAUCAUGGCCCUUACGACCAGGGCUACACACGUGCUACAAUGGCGCAUACAAAGAGAAGCGACCUCGCGAGAGCAAGCGGACCUCAUAAAGUGCGUCGUAGUCCGGAUUGGAGUCUGCAACUCGACUCCAUGAAGUCGGAAUCGCUAGUAAUCGUGGAUCAGAAUGCCACGGUGAAUACGUUCCCGGGCCUUGUACACACCGCCCGUCACACCAUGGGAGUGGGUUGCAAAAGAAGUAGGUAGCUUAACCUUCGGGAGGGCGCUUACCACUUUGUGAUUCAUGACUGGGGUGAAGUCGUAACAAGGUAACCGUAGGGGAACCUGCGGUUGGAUCACCUCCUUA
rnacentral:rRNA from 1 species